rnacentral:rRNA from 1 species
UUUCACGCUGGCGGCAGGCCUAACACAUGCAAGUCGAGCGGAUGAAGGGAGCUUGCUCCUGGAUUCAGCGGCGGACGGGUGAGUAAUGCCUAGGAAUCUGCCUGGUAGUGGGGGAUAACGUCCGGAAACGGGCGCUAAUACCGCAUACGUCCUGAGGGAGAAAGUGGGGGAUCUUCGGACCUCACGCUAUCAGAUGAGCCUAGGUCGGAUUAGCUAGUUGGUGGGGUAAAGGCCUACCAAGGCGACGAUCCGUAACUGGUCUGAGAGGAUGAUCAGUCACACUGGAACUGAGACACGGUCCAGACUCCUACGGGAGGCAGCAGUGGGGAAUAUUGGACAAUGGGCGAAAGCCUGAUCCAGCCAUGCCGCGUGUGUGAAGAAGGUCUUCGGAUUGUAAAGCACUUUAAGUUGGGAGGAAGGGCAGUAAGUUAAUACCUUGCUGUUUUGACGUUACCAACAGAAUAAGCACCGGCUAACUUCGUG